rnacentral:rRNA from 1 species
UAGGGAAUCUUCCACAAUGGACGCAAGUCUGAUGGAGCAACGCCGCGUGAGUGAAGAAGGCUUUCGGGUCGUAAAACUCUGUUAUUGAAGAAGAACGUGUGUGACAGUAACUGGUCAUGCAGUGACGGUAUUCAAUCAGAAAGUCACGGCUAACUACGUGCCAGCAGCCGCGGUAAUACGUAGGUGGCAAGCGUUGUCCGGAUUUAUUGGGCGUAAAGCGAGUGCAGGCGGUCUUUUAAGUCUGAUGUGAAAGCCUUCGGCUUAACCGAAGAAGGGCAUCGGAAACUGGGAGACUUGAGUGCAGAAGAGGAGAGUGGAACUCCAUGUGUAGCGGUGAAAUGCGUAGAUAUAUGGAAGAACACCAGUGGCGAAGGCGGCUCUCUGGUCUGUAACUGACGCUGAGGCUCGAAAAGCGUGGG